CCUGAGUUUGGCACAAGUCACAUCUCAUCAAUCAAACAGGGCCUUUGGGCUUUAAAAGAUCAGAUUCGGUUCCCUGGGCACAGUCUGACUUAUAUGUAGGGGCAGGAGGGUGGACACUCCCAAACCAACUCAGAGGUUUGGGCUGGAGACUGUCCUUCUGAGGUGGGACAGAUUGUUAGAAGCAAAUCUGGGGGCUUGUGACCCCGGCCUGGGAUCAAAAGUCUCUCAACUCCCACCCAGACCCCAGAGCCUAAUCUGUCACAACCUCCCCGUGGUUCCCUGGGGAUUUGAAUCCUACGACCCCUUUCAGGUCCGGGUCCUGUAAACAAAUGGAAAUGAUGCCCUUACACAACAAAGGGCUGGGCGGGUGGAUUAGCUGACAGCCCUGGGAGAGCCUCCUAGGCCCUGGGGAGUGAUGGUCCCCGGAGGGGGCUAGGGGAGAGGUCAGAAAGGGGAGCGUGCUCUGCAGGGUCAGGGGCCUCUGGCAACCCCGGCUUCUCCCGCUGGGUGCCCCUGAGCAGCCCCCUGCCCUGGGUGGGUCAGGCUCCCGCCCGCAUGUCCGCCGCCGCCCUCUGGCCCCUCUCGGCUGGGGUGCUCAGUGCUAAGCCGCAAUCCUCCAGGCCGAGAGCCCAGGCAAGUCUGCUCGGUCCCCCUUCCUCCUUCCCAGGUUCCUUGUCAGGACUAAAGGCAAAGUGGAAGUGGGGGGUCACAGCUUGGAGAGGAAGGUGGCCAAGCCAGCUCGGGACCAGCUCCAAGCAAAAUUGCCAACUUUAGAAAGCUUCUCCUGUGCUGGGGGCGCCACCAUUCGGUCGAGAGUACACGUUACCAUUCACAAGACCAGGGUUCAAGUCCCUGGCCCCCGAGCUGCACAUGAGCACAUAAAGGAAGCUUCAUGAGCUGAGGAGCACUGCUACAGAACAGAGCUCAAACUCUUCUGUGCGGCAUGCUUAACCUCUGACCUGACCGACUCUUCAGCUCCUCUCCCGCUAUGUUAUCAUCUUUGCUCCCCUCAGUCCCAUGCUCCAUGUACUAUUCAUCUUUGCCAAGCCCCCUAUUUCUGACACCAAGUUGCAGAUGCUACCAGCAUUUCAUCCUGACUUCUUUGGGCAGAUGACCGACUUCACCAGUGUGUCCUGGAACCUUGCUUCUCCUGAGCUGUUGCCCACUAGGGAAAGAUUGGGGAUUCAGAACUCUGGUGAUGGGAAUGGUGUGGAAUUAUACUCCUGCUGACAUGUAGUUUUGUAAAUCAAUAUUAAAUCACUAAUAAAAUAAAAUAAAAUAAAA